rnacentral:rRNA from 1 species
CGGGGCUACCCAAAGUGCUCCAUAUAGGAGCUGUGGUAGGUGCGUAAUGUUCCCUACUAGAAAGGAGAGGGCAAAGCUGGUGCCAGCCGCCGCGGUAAAACCAGCUCUUCAAGUGGUCGGGAUAAUUAUUGGGCUUAAAGUGUCCGUAGCUGGUAAGGUAAGUUCCUGGUAAAAUUGGGCAGCUUAACUGUCCUUAUGCUAGGAAUACUGCUUUACUAGAGGGCGGGAGAGGUCUGAGGUACUACAGGGGUAGGAGUGAAAUCUUAUAAUCCUUGUAGGACCACCAGUGGCGAAGGCGUCAGACUGGAACGCGCCUGACGGUGAGGGACGAAAGCCAGGGGAGCGAACCGGAUUAGAUACCCGGGUAGUCCUGGCCGUAAACGAUGCACACUAGAUGAUGGUGCGGCCAUGAGCCGUAUCAGUGUCGUAGGGAAACCGUUAAGUGUGCCGCCUGGGAAGUACGGUCGCAAGGCUUAAACUUAAAGGAAUUGGCGGGGGAGCACCACAAGGGGUGAAGCCUGCGGUUCAAUUGGACUCGACGCCGGGCAACUUACCAGGGGAGACAGCAGAAUGAAGGUCAGGUUGACGACCUUACCUAACAAGCUGAGAGGAGGUGCAUGGCCGUCGCCAGUUCGUGCUGUGAGGUAUCCUGUUAAGUCAGGCAACGAACGAGACCCGUGCCUUUAUUUGCCAUCAAGAAGUCACGACUUCGUUGGGAACGAUAAAGGGACUGCCGUCGAUAAGACGGAGGAAGGAGCGGGCAAAGGCAGGUCAGUAUGCCCCGAAACCCCUGGGCUACACGCGGGCUGCAAUGGUGCGAACAAUGGGCUGUGACUCCGACAGGAGAAACCAAUCCCGAAAUCGCAUCUCAGUUGGGAUUGUCAACUGUAACCCGUUGACAUGAACGUGGAAUCCCUAGUAAUCGCGUGUCACCAUCGCGCGGUGAAUACGUCUCUUCUCCUUGCAC